UACGGGGGGGGCAAGCGUUGUUCGGAAUUACUGGGCGUAAAGGGCCAGUAGGCGGCCAACUAAGUCGGAUGUGAAAUCCCCAGGCUCAACUUGGGAACUGCAUCCGAUACUGGAUGGCUUGAAUUCGGGAGAGGGAUGCAGAAUUCCAGGUGUAGCGGUGAAAUGCGUAGAUAUCUGGAGGAAUACCGGUGGCGAAGGCGGCAUCCUGGACCGACAUUGACGCUGAACGGCGAAAGCUAGGGGAGCGAAACAGGGAGUUAAGUAAACCCACGG
rnacentral:rRNA from 1 species